CGGCAGGCUUAAUACAUGCAAGUCGAGGGGCAUCAAGGUACACGAAAGUGUAUUGUUGGCGACCGGCGGACGGGUGAGUAAUAGGUAGGUAACCUACCUCAUACUGAGGCAUAGCUGGGAGAAAUUCCAGGUAAUUCCUCAUGAGGUUAUAUGACACAUGUGAUAUAAUCAAAGGUAUCGCAAGGUACUGGUAUGAGAUGGGCUUACUGACCAUUAGCUAGUUGGUGAGAUAAGAGCUCACCAAGGCGAAGAUGGUUAGGGGUUUUGAGAGAGAGAUCCCCCACAUUGGAACUGAGAUACGGUCCAGACUCCUACGGGAGGCAGCAGUAGGGAAUCUUCCGCAAUGGGCGCAAGCCUGACGGAGCGACGCCGCGUGAGUGAUGAAGGCCUUCGGGUCGUAAAGCUCUGUUCUUGAGGACGAAUAAGCCAGGGAGUGGAAAGCCCUGGUGAUGACUGUACUCAAGGAGAAAGCUCCGGCUAACUACGUG
rnacentral:rRNA from 1 species